GCGUUCUUAGCUCAGCUGGUAGAGCAACUGACUCUUAAUCAGUGGGUCCAGGGUUCGAAUCCCUGAGAGCGUACCA
rnacentral:tRNA from 1 species